GGACUGACUGGGACUCCUCUAGGCGUCGGACGCGCUAUCAAACUCUUCAUCCAAGAGAUCGCCUUCGUCAACAUCUGGCCAAAUCAACAAGCCAGGUGAGUACCAUGAAAGUACUCGCAAGACAGUUCGGACAUAAGAUAUAACAAA